ACACUAGGCAGUGCUGAGAUCAUCUCCCACAUCCUGGCCGGUCUCGACCUCGACUACAACCCGGUUGUGCCAGCUAUUGCAGCACGGGUCGAGCCCGUGACUGUACAGGAACUCUUCACCCAGUUGCUGAGCUUAGA
rfam:Triticum urartu cultivar G1812 contig1095044, whole genome shotgun sequence.